GUUUUAAUAAUUUAAUCAAAAUAUUGGUCUUGUAAAUCAAAAAUAAGUAUACUUUUAAAACU
rnacentral:tRNA from 1 species